rnacentral:rRNA from 1 species
ACCGCGAGGUCAAGCAAAUCCCAUAAUGUUGUUCUCAGUUCGGAGUGUAGUCGUCAACUCGACUACAUGAAGCUGGAAUCGCUAGUAAUCGUAGAUCAGCAUGCUACGGUGAAUACGUUCCCGGGUCUUGUACACACCGCCCGUCACACCACGAGAGUUUGUAACACCCGAAGCCGGUGGAGUAACCUUUUAGGAGCUAGCCGUCGAAGGUGGGACAAAUGAUUGGGGUGAAGUCGUAACAAGGUAGCCGUAUCGGAAGGUGCGGCUGGAUCACCUCCUUUCUAAGGA